UUAGUCUUGUAAUUUAAGACUGGAAUGAAGGGAUAAACUAAAGAGUUUCUUUCUUAACUUUUUCUUUCAAACUUUACUUUUUAGUAAGAAGGCUAAAAUGUUUCUUUUAGACAAGAAGACCCUAUAAAACUUUACAUAAGAUAAUUUAAUAAAUUAAAAACAUGUUUCGCUGGGGCGGUGGAAAGAUAAACACUUUUAAAUUGUUAAAAUAUUACUAUUUUAAUACCCAAAAUUUUUGAAGCUUAAAUAAGUUACUUUAGGGAUAACAGCGUAAUAUACUCUGAAAGCUCAAAUUGACAAGUAUGUUUGCGACCUCGAUGUUGGAUUAGAUUUCCUUUAUUCCGCAAGAG
rnacentral:rRNA from 1 species